CCCCCGGGCAAACCCCGGCCGGACCGAACAGCCCAGCUCAGCCUGGCCCGGCCCGGCCCAGCCCGGCCCCUGCGUUCCCCUCCCUCGGCCGCUCCCGGGCCGCCCCAGUCGGGCCGGGCGCUCUCGGCUGGACAGCGCUGUCAGGCGCUCUCUGGUUUUCAGACACAAUUGUGUUUCAUUCCCCGCUCUCUUAAGUGACUCUACAUCAUCUAUAACGUGCAAGGCAGCGAAAUGCUUUCAUGGCAUUUUUUUGUCACUUCGUACCUUUGGAAAAGGUUGACUUGGAGGGUACUUAGAUUUUAUUCGCGGAGUAGGACUGAUUCUAUAACAGGUUAAAUUCUUUGAAACGUUGGGGAGGAAAAAAAUAAUCGAGACGUUUCCAUCUAAAGUUAAAAAAGUGUCAGAAAAUUCAAUGCAGCCUUGGAAGCCUUGAUGUCUCCAAGUUAAAGAGACACGUUGAGUACUCACUCACAGUGAAGUGUAGCGAAAAAAGGUGAAGAUGACACCAUCGCCUCCUUCUGUUACUUCAGAUUAAAGAGGUCACCAGGUAGUUCAGCUUAGUCUUGUGUUUAUAGGCAAUUUGUAUUAAAACUCCAGAUUUUGCUCCAAAGCAGCCAAGAAAUCACACUUUUUGUUCUUCCAACACUGCUGGAGAUAAAUAAUUAUAGCAGAAGGAUGGUAGCAUUUUAAAUUACCACCGUGUUUUGCACAGCAAAUAUGCUUCAAUGCUUUAAGGGGUAAUUGCUUUGAAAAAUUCCAGCUGAGACAGCUCAGCCAAAUUUAAGAAUGCAUUUAGGGAAUAGUGCAUUUUUCUGCUCAUGUAAUUUUAAAAAACCCAAAUUAAUUCAUUGACAAGCUGCCUAAAUUUACCAGUCUUUGGUGAGGUCAGAGCUUAAUUUUUGGCCAGGCACAUGAAAAUAUAUCAAAAUUUGGCAAACAUCAUUUGUGAAAUCAUGCACAUAGUUAUUAAAUAGUUGAGGAGUUAUUAGCUGAGAAGCUUGGGAGUCUGAGUUUCCAAUACUGCAUAUUGUCUUUGCUGACUUUAUUUUCAGUUGCUCCUUUUAAUUUUUGGUAUCAUUAUGGUGCCAAGGAAAGAUGUAAUUUCAAAGGAUUCAUUGGAAAUUAUUUUUUAAAAUUUAUCCCAAAAUAAAUUUUAAAUCAGCACUUGGUGCUGAACAUUCUGAAUGUAUUAAAGGAGUAAUAUUGGUUGGUACAUUUUGUUGUCAGAAAGUAUAUUUUCAUUUCUAUAUGUGACCUACCAGUAACAUGGUCACACCCUGAACACACUAGUGGUUUCACACUUAUUUUGCUCUUAUUAAAUACAUAACCAACAUAUUUGUUAAGAUACUGUAGAAAAUAUCUAUCCUCCUUGUAGAAAGUAGCCUUUGUUUGCUCUGUCUCUAGAUUUUCUCCUGUCCUCUCAAAGUACCCUGAAAAAGGCUAAGACAGCUGAAUGGCAGUAUUUUGCAGCUCUCCUAAGCUCACCUGGCACUGCCUGUAAGAGGAACAGUGGAGAAAAGUACAGCACACCUCUAGAAAGCAAAGAGAAAAUAACAGAAAUCCCAGAAAAUCUUGAGUGGUAUCUGUGAAGUUUUUGGUCUCUGUUCAGGAGCAUGAGGAUUGUGUUCCAGUGGGAUGGGUGGAGGCCAUCACAUAUUCAUAGGGAAGAAAUGUGGUGAGGGAAAUGCUACAGCAGAUGCAGACUCGAUUAACAGUGUGUGUUCUAAUGUUAGAGAGAUACAAAGUUUGUGCAAAGAGGAGGUGGAAAUAAGUUAAACUUCCUAAUUUGUUUUCUGUCAGAUGAAAUGAAUGUGCAGCAGAAUCAUUUCCCUGAAUUCCAGCCCUACAUUCUGCCUGCUUUCUUCCAGAAGCUUUUAAUUUUAUAUUGGGAAGAGGAGACGUGCACUCCACCCAGGUUACAGCUGGGCGUUUCUCAGCAGUUGCAUGACUCAAGAUCUAACACAUGCAGUUAGAAAUCGUUCUUUUCCUUUUCUUAUCAUGGGUUUUCCUUUUCCAUGCAGAAAGAAUUCCAUGUCUCAUGAUGCAUGUAUACAAAAGGAACAUCCCAUUUAUGUGAACACACUCCAGAAGAAAGUCUUCAGCAUCGAUAAUUUUGCCAAUAUGUUCUUGUCUCAUGAAGUGAAGGGGCCAUGGAGUUUUGACAGGUGGUAACCUGCCACAAUUUAUUUUAUACCGAAUAUUUAACAUAUAAGUAUGUACAAAACCAAAGCUUUUAUUAAGGCUGUAAAAUAAAACUUUCAUGAGUUGGGAAAUUCCAGAAUCAAGGCUGCUGAUUUAAAUUAAUUUCUGUCACAUUUUUUGCAAAUCCCUGAGUAUGUAUUGAUCCAAACACUUAAAAACUGACAAAAGUAUUAAAAAACUCAAACCAGACU